CCAUCACAUGAAUAAAGAGGAGUAAAGUACAGUCCAGAGUUCCCUUCUUUGCUGCUUCCUGCCCUUGUGCCACCCUCAUAUCGCUGUUGGUUACGGAACAGGGAGGGAGACAGCUGGGUGGUCUGACUGAGACUUCAGUAUUUCAAAGGGGGCUCAAGAGAAGAGAGGAAACUGACACUGCUUUGUUGAUAAUUAAGCCAGAUUUUUGUUGUUUUGUGGAAGUUGACAAGUUGCUAAAAAAACAUUCAAAGUAGUAUUUUUAUUCCGGUGGCUCAGACAAUGAAGAAUCUGCCCACAAUACAUGAGACCCAGGUUCAAUCCCUGGAUCAGGAAGAUCCUCUGGAGAAGGGAAUGGCUACCUACUUCAGUAUUCUUGCCUAGAAAAUUCCAUGUAAGCAGAGGAGCCUGGCAAGCUAUAGUCAUGGAGUCACAGAGUUGGACAUGACUGAGUGAUUAAGAUUCAACUACACAUAUACACAUAGAUAUUUACCACUUUUGAUGUUUAUUUUCUGAUGCUCCGAUUUUUCUUCUGGAAUUAUUUCCCUUGUGAAUUACUUAAACAUAAGACCUGAAAUCAUAAAACCACUAGCAGGAAACAGGAUCUCAAAGCAAUAUCUUCGCUCUUAGUUUAUUGCUGCAUUAUACAACAAUAAAGACAUUGAAAAACCUAAUUGUACAUCAACAGACAAGUAUAUAAGGAGAAUAUGUGUAGGAUACAAUGAUAUAUUAUUCAGCCUUAAGAAAGAAUAAAAUAUUACCUUUUUUUGACAAGAUGAAUGAGCAUGAAAGACAUUUUGCUAAGUGAAAUAAACCAGACAUAUAAAGAUAAAUAUUG
ensembl:lncRNA